UACGUAGGGGGCUAGCGUUGUCCGGAAUUACUGGGCGUAAAGGGUUCGCAGGCGGCAAUGCAAGUCAGGUGUGAAAGGCGGAGGCUCAACCUCCGCAAGCAUUUGAAACUGCAUAGCUUGAGAUGUGGAGAGGUAAGUGGAAUUCCUAGUGUAGCGGUGAAAUGCGUAGAUAUUAGGAGGAAUACCAGUGGCGAAGGCGACUUACUGGACACAAACUGACGCUGAGGAACGAAAGCGUGGGGAGCAAACAGGAUUAGAUACCCUGGUAGUCCACGCUGUAAACGAUGAGUGCUAGGUGUCGGAGCAAUUCGGUGCCGCAGUUAACACAAUAAGCACUCCGCCUGGGGAGUACGUACGCAAGUAUGAA
rnacentral:rRNA from 1 species